UGAAUACGAGACGCUAAGGCGUCGAAGUAGUGUAUGUCAUACUUCCAAGAAAAGCUUGCACUGUCAUAGAUAAAAAACGCCUGUACCAUAACCGAUACAGGUGGGUAGGUAGAGUAUACUAAGGGGCGCGAGAUAACUCUCUCUAAGGAACUCGGCAAAAUAACUCCGUAACUUCGGGAGAAGGAGUGCCUUAUUCGUAAGGUUGCAAUAACAAGAUCCAAGCAACUGUUUAUCAAAAACACAGGUCUCCGCUAAGUCGUAAGACGAUGUAUGGGGGCUGACGCCUGCCCAGUGCCAGAAGGUUAAAGAAGUUGGUUAGCAAUUGCGAAGCUGAUAACUGAAGCCCUGGUGAACGGCGGCCGUAACUAUAACGGUCCUAAGGUAGCGAAAUUCCUUGUCGGGUAAGUUCCGACCCGCACGAAAGGCGUAAUGAUUUGGAUACUGUCUCGGAGAGGGGCUCGGUGAAAUAGACUUGUCUGUGAAGAUGCGGACUACCUGCACCAGGACAGAAAGACCCUAUGAAGCUUUACUGUAACUUGAAAUUGAAAUUGGACUUUAUUCGCGCAGUAUAGGUGGGAGGCGCUGAUUAUAAUCUUGUGGGAUUAUUGGAGCCAUCAGUGAGAUACCACUCUUGUAAUGUUAGAUUUCUAACUUUGAAUCAUUAUCUGGUCAAAGAACAGUUUCAGGCGGGCAGUUUGACUGGGGCGGUCGCCUCCUAAACGGUAACGGAGGCGUACAAAGGUUUCCUCUGAACGGUUAGAAAUCGUAUCUAGAGUGUAAAGGCAUAAGGAAGCUUGACUGUGAGACCUACAAGUCGAGCAGGGACGAAAGUCGGUCUUAGUGAUCUGACGGUACUGAGUGGAAAGGCCGUCACUCAACGGAUAAAAGUUACUCUAAGGAUAACAGGCUGAUCUCCCCCAAGAGUUCACAUCGACGGGGAGGUUUGGCACCUCGACGUCGGCUCAUCGCAUCCUGGGGCGGUAGUACGUCCCAAGGGUUGGGCUGUUCGCCCAUGAAAGCGGUACGCGAGCUGGGUUCAGAACGUCGUGAGACAGUUCGGUCCAUAUCCGGUGUAGGCGUUAGAAUAUUGAGAGGAGCCUUCUUUAGUACGAGAGGACCGAGAAGGACAUACCUCUGGUGUACCAGUUAUCGUGCCAACGGUAAACGCUGGGUAGCUAUGUAUGGAGUGGAUAACCGCUGAAAGCAUCUAAGUGGGAAGCCCACCUCAAGAUAAGUAUUCUCC
rnacentral:rRNA from 1 species